AGUGAACGCUGGCGGUAGGCCUAACACGUGCAAGUCGAACGGCAGCACAGUAAGAGCUUGCUCUUACGGGUGGCGAGUGGCGGACGGGUGAGGAAUACAUCGGAAUCUACUUUUUCGUGGGGGAUAACGUAGGGAAACUUACGCUAAUACCGCAUACGACCUACGGGUGAAAGCAGGGGAUCUUCGGACCUUGCGCGAUUGAAUGAGCCGAUGUCGGAUUAGCUAGUUGGCGGGGUAAAGGCCCACCAAGGCGACGAUCCGUAGCUGGUCUGAGAGGACGAUCAGCCACACUGGAACUGAGACACGGUCCAGACUCCUACGGGAGGCAGCAGUGGGGAAUAUUGGACAAUGGGCGCAAGCCUGAUCCAGCCAUACCGCGUGGGUGAAGAAGGCCUUCGGGUUGUAAAGCCCUUUUGUUGGGAAAGAAAAGCAGCAGGUUAAUACCCCGCUGUUCUGACGGUACCCAAAGAAUAAGCACCGGCUAACUUCGUG
rnacentral:rRNA from 1 species